rnacentral:rRNA from 1 species
AUUCCCCUAGUAACUGCGAGUGAAGCGGGAAAAGCUCAAAUUUAAAAUCUGGCGGCCUCUGGUCGUCCGAGUUGUAAUUUAGAGAAGCGUCUUCCGCGCUGGACCGUGCACAAGUCUCCUGGAAUGGAGCGUCAUAGAGGGUGAGAAUCCCGUCUUUGGCACGGAUGCACCAGGGCUUUCGUGAUGCGCUCUCGAAGAGUCGAGUUGUUUGGGAAUGCAGCUCAAAAUGGGUGGUGAACUCCAUCUAAAGCUAAAUAUUGGCGAGAGACCGAUAGCGAACAAGUACCGUGAGGGAAAGAUGAAAAGCACUUUGGAAAGAGAGUGAAACAGUACGUGAAAUUGUUGAAAGGGAAACGCUUGAAGUCAGUCGCGUCGACCGAGACUCAGCCUUGCCUCGGCUCGGUGUACUUCUCGGCCGACGGGUCAGCAUCAAUUUUGCCCCUCGGAUAAUGGCGAGAGAAAGGUGGCACCCUCACGGGUGUGUUAUAGUCUCCCGUCGGAUGCGAGGGUCGGGAUUGAGGAACUCGGCACGUACCNNNNNNNNNNNNNNNNNNNNNNNNNNGUGCUUAGGAUGUUGGCAUAAUGGCUUUAAACGACCCGUCUUGAAACACGGACCAAGGAGUCUAACAUGCCCGCGAGUGUUCGGGUGGAAAACCCGUGCGCGUAAUGAAAGUAAAAGUUGGGACCCCUGUCGUGGGGGGCACCGACGCCCGGACCAGACCUUCUGUGACGGAUCUGCGGUAGAGCGUGCAUGUUGGGACCCGAAAGAUGGUGAACUAUGCCUGAAUAGGGUGAAGCCAGAGGAAACUCUGGUGGAGGCUCGUAGCGAUUCUGACGUGCAAAUCGAUCGUCAAAUUUGGGUAUAGGGGCGAAAGAC